AACGAACGCUGGCGGCAUGCCUAACACAUGCAAGUCGAACGAAGCCUUCGGGCUUAGUGGCGCACGGGUGCGUAUCGCGUGGGAAUCUGCCCCUUGCUUCGGAAUAACAGUUAGAAAUGACUGCUAAUACCGGAUGAAGUCUUCGGACCAAAGAUUUAUCGGCAAGGGAUGAGCCCGCGUAGGAUUAGGUAGUUGGUGGGGUAAAGGCCUACCAAGCCGACGAUCCUUAGCUGGUCUGAGAGGAUGAUCAGCCACACUGGGACUGAGACACGGCCCAGACUCCUACGGGAGGCAGCAGUGGGGAAUAUUGGACAAUGGACGCAAGUCUGAUCCAGCAAUGCCGCGUGAGUGAUGAAGGCCUUAGGGUUGUAAAGCUCUUUUACCAGGGAUGAUAAUGACAGUACCUGGAGAAUAAGCUCCGGCUAACUCCGUG
rnacentral:rRNA from 1 species